rnacentral:rRNA from 1 species
GCGGGCGGGUGCUAUACAUGCAGUCGAGCGGACAGAAGGGAGCUUGCUCCCGGAUGUUAGCGGCGGACGGGUGAGUAACACGUGGGUAACCUGCCUGUAAGACUGGGAUAACUCCGGGAAACCGGAGCUAAUACCGGAUAGUUCCUUGAACCGCAUGGUUCAAGGAUGAAAGACGGUUUCGGCUGUCACUUACAGAUGGACCCGCGGCGCAUUAGCUAGUUGGUGAGGUAACGGCUCACCAAGGCGACGAUGCGUAGCCGACCUGAGAGGGUGAUCGGCCACACUGGGACUGAGACACGGCCCAGACUCCUACGGGAGGCAGCAGUAGGGAAUCUUCCGCAAUGGACGAAAGUCUGACGGAGCAACGCCGCGUGAGUGAUGAAGGUUUUCGGAUCGUAAAGCUCUGUUGUUAGGGAAGAACAAGUGCAAGAGUAACUGCUUGCACCUUGACGGUACCUAACCAGAAAGCCACGGCUAACUACGUGCCAGCAGCCGCGGUAAUACGUAGGUGGCAAGCGUUGUCCGGAAUUAUUGGGCGUAAAGGGCUCGCAGGCGGUUUCUUAAGUCUGAUGUGAAAGCCCCCGGCUCAACCGGGGAGGGUCAUUGGAAACUGGGAAACUUGAGUGCAGAAGAGGAGAGUGGAAUUCCACGUGUAGCGGUGAAAUGCGUAGAGAUGUGGAGGAACACCAGUGGCGAAGGCGACUCUCUGGUCUGUAACUGACGCUGAGGAGCGAAAGCGUGGGGAGCGAACAGGAUUAGAUACCCUGGUAGUCCACGCCGUAAACGAUGAGUGCUAAGUGUUAGGGGGUUUCCGCCCCUUAGUGCUGCAGCUAACGCAUUAAGCACUCCGCCUGGGGAGUACGGUCGCAAGACUGAAACUCAAAGGAAUUGACGGGGGCCCGCACAAGCGGUGGAGCAUGUGGUUUAAUUCGAAGCAACGCGAAGAACCUUACCAGGUCUUGACAUCCUCUGACAACCCUAGAGAUAGGGCUUUCCCUUCGGGGACAGAGUGACAGGUGGUGCAUGGUUGUCGUCAGCUCGUGUCGUGAGAUGUUGGGUUAAGUCCCGCAACGAGCGCAACCCUUGAUCUUAGUUGCCAGCAUUCAGUUGGGUACUCUAAGGUGACUGCCGGUGACAAACCGGAGGAAGGUGGGGAUGACGUCA